rnacentral:rRNA from 1 species
AAAGCGUCCGUAGCCGGUUUAAUAAGUCUCUGGUGAAAUCCUGCAGCUUAACUGUGGGAAUUGCUGGAGAUACUAUUAGACUUGAGACCGGGAGAGGUUAGAGGUACUCCCAGGGUAGAGGUGAAAUUCUGUAAUCCUGGGAGGACCGCCUGUUGCGAAGGCGUCUAACUGGAAACGGUUCUGACGGUGAGGGACGAAAGUUAGGGGCGCGAACCGGAUUAGAUACCCGGGUAGUCCUAAACUGUAAACGAUGCGGACUUGGUGUUGGGGUGGCUUUGAGCUGCUUCAGUGCCGAAGGGAAGCUGUUAAGUCCGCCGCCUGGGGAAGUACGGUCGCAAGACUGAAACUUAAAGGAGUUGGCGGGGGAGCACCACAACGCGUGGAGCCUGCCGGUUUAAUUGGAUUCAACGCCGGACAUCUCACCAGAGGCGACAGCUGUAUGAUAGCCAGGUUGAUGACUUUGCUUGACUAGCUGAGUGGAGGUGCAUGG